GACGAACGUUGGCGGCGUGCUUAAUACAUGCAAGUCAACUGAAGCAGUGGUAGCAAUAUCGCUGUGGAGGUGGCGCACGGGUGAGUAACACGUAGGUAAUCUGCCUUCAGGUCUGGCAUAACUCCGGGAAACCGGGGCUAAUAGCAGAUGAUGCAGCGGCUCGACAUCGAGACAGUUGUUAAAGCUAUGGCGCCUGAAGAUGAGCCUGCGUCUGAUUAGCUAGUUGGCGGGGUAACGGCCCACCAAGGCAACGAUCAGUAGCUGGUCUGAGAGGAUGAGCAGCCACACUGGAACUGAGACACGGUCCAGACUCCUACGGGAGGCAGCAGUAAGGAAUAUUGCUCAAUGGGAGAAAUCCUGAAGCAGCAACGCCGCGUGAGGGACGAAGGGCUUUUGCUUGUAAACCUCUGUAGUGAGAGAAAAAAAUCCCAAUCUUUGGGACAUGAUGGUAGCUCAAAAGUAAGCCCCGGCUAACUACGUG
rnacentral:rRNA from 1 species